GAUGAACGCUGGCGGCGUGCCUAAUACAUGCAAGUAGAACGCUGAAGGAGGAGCUUGCUUCUCCGGAUGAGUUGCGAACGGGUGAGUAACGCGUAGGUAACCUGCCUGGUAGCGGGGGAUAACUAUUGGAAACGAUAGCUAAUACCGCAUAACAGUAGAUGUUGCAUGAUAUUUGCUUAAAAGGUGCAAUUGCAUCACUACCAGAUGGACCUGCGUUGUAUUAGCUAGUUGGUGAGGUAACGGCUCACCAAGGCGACGAUACAUAGCCGACCUGAGAGGGUGAUCGGCCACACUGGGACUGAGACACGGCCCAGACUCCUACGGGAGGCAGCAGUAGGGAAUCUUCGGCAAUGGACGGAAGUCUGACCGAGCAACGCCGCGUGAGUGAAGAAGGUUUUCGGAUCGUAAAGCUCUGUUGUAAGAGAAGAACGAGUGUGAGAGUGGAAAGUUCACACUGUGACGGUAUCUUACCAGAAAGGGACGGCUAACUACGUG
rnacentral:rRNA from 1 species